UCGAUGUCGGCUCAUCGCAUCCUGGGGCUGGAGCAGGUCCCAAGGGUUUGGCUGUUCGCCAAUUAAAGCGGUACGCGAGCUGGGUUCAAAACGUCGUGAGACAGUUUGGUCCCUAUCUACCGUGGGCGUAGGAGAGUUGAGAGGACCUAUCCUUAGUACGAGAGGACCGGGAUGGACGUACCGCUGGUGUUCCAGUUGUCAUGCCAAUGGCAUCGCUGGGUAGCUACGUACGGAUCGGAUAACCGCUGAAAGCAUCUAAGCGGGAAGCCCACCUCAAGAAUAGCUCUCCCGGGGCGCAAGCCCCCUCAAGAGCCGUCGUAGACUACGACGUCGAUAGGCCGGGAGUGGAAGCGCAGUAAUGCGCGAAGCUGACCGGUACUAAUAGCUCGUGAGGCUUGCUUAUAU
rnacentral:rRNA from 1 species